rnacentral:rRNA from 1 species
UACGUAGGGGGCAAGCGUUGUCCGGAAUCAUUGGGCGUAAAGAGCGUGUAGGCGGCCCGGUAAGUCCGCUGUGAAAGUCGGGGGCUCAACCCUCGAAUGCCGGUGGAUACUGUCGGGCUAGAGUGCGGAAGAGGCGAGUGGAAUUCCUGGUGUAGCGGUGAAAUGCGCAGAUAUCAGGAGGAACACCAAUUGCGAAGGCAGCUCGCUGGGACGUAACUGACGCUGAGGCGCGAAAGCGUGGGGAGCAAACAGG